rnacentral:lncRNA from 1 species
UUUUUAGCAAGACAUGAAACCAAUAUUUCAAAUACAGAGCAACAACACUGAAGGAUUAUAUUUAGAUCACAUCAUACUUUACAACCAUACACACCUAUGCUUAUCUACCAUCUGCACUCCCUACGGUUUACACUCUACCACUUUCCUACUCCACCACCUGCCACCCCCCCCCUAAGUUCAAGAAAAUGUGAAUAACAAUAAGGUAUGGAGACAUGUGCUGCACACUCCCCUAUCCCCUCUUGAGCUUGCUGCACCUUUUUUUUUCCCACGCCUAUGCAGCAGGCUGCCAUGCCCAAGUACACCUAAAUAUGUCAAUCAGCCACCCUAGAAUGUACCUCCUCCCAUGUAUACAAGCUCCCAGCCAAACCACCUCGUCAUUCAAAACAGCCAACAUUGUUGCAUUCUCUUCAUUCUUCAUUUGAGGACUGCACAAGGAGAAGUGAGCCUUUAAUUCAUCCUACCAAGUAUUCUCAAGGUAAGCUUGUCUUCAAUGCUCCACCUUCUUCCCUUAUUCCACCUGCAUUAAUGCAAGAACAACUUUAUUAUUUCAGUUCGAUCUGCUGCUUCAUUUAAUCCAACCACAACAGCCAACAAACACCAAAGCAAGCAUCAUUCAAGGUAUUUAUACUACCUCAGUUAUCCAAUCGAGUUCGCAUUCGUACCAACGAGCAUAAUCAUGUUUUACCACUACAUCAAACAGUCCAUGUUAUGUAUAGCAAUAGAAAGACUUGUGUGUAUACUGCCACUGCACUCUAGAACAACGAAUCAUGAGAACCCCACGCGUAACAACUAGAAACUGAAGUAGAAGAAAAAUGAAAGUAGAUAACUUAGCUUUAGGAAGAAGGGACGCGGCCUGUUCAGGCUGAUCAAGAGACGAUGAGCAGCAGCGACUCGGUGCUCGGCGGUGGGUUCAGGCGAGAAGCUCGCCUUGUUGCUCCACGACCUGUUCAGUUGGGCCGAGAGACGAACGAGACGACGCGAUGAUGGAGCUCUCACCGGCUUCGGAACUCGGAGAAGAACUGGAAACGGCGAACACCCGACUGUUCGCCGGCCUCUCUACAGCAGCAGCGUUCGGUGCUUGGCAGCAGAAGUCGGUCUUGGGCGAGGCAGCGGCAGCCGACGACGGUGGUGGCUGUCGGAACUCUGCAACAGCAGCCGGCGGACUCCUCAACGAACAGCAGCAGUCAGCGGACUCCUCGACGAACAGCAACAGCCGCGACUCCUCGACGAACAGCAGCAGUCAGCGGACUCCUCGACGAACAGCAGCAGUCAUCGGACUCCUCGACGAACAGCAGCAGUCGGCGGCCAACUCCAGAACAGCAGCAGUCGACGGCGAUGGACUGGGCGAUGGCGGAGCUGAUGAGGAACCCGCGAGCAGUUGUCUACGACAUGUUCUCCGCUGGCACAGAGACGUCUUCGACGGCGUGCUUCAUGUGGAGGAAGAGAGAGGCGACGAAUAGAGAAGGGAAGAGAGGAAGAAAAAUCGAGAGGUAUAGAGAGAGUGAUGGCAGCGUUUCUUUCUUGAUUGGGAGAGAGAGA